GAUGAACGCUGGCGGCGUGCUUAACACAUGCAAGUCGAACGAAGCAUUUCGGGCUUAAUCUUCGGAAGCGGACUGAUCUGACUGAGUGGCGGACGGGUGAGUAACGCGUGGGUAACCUGCCCUGUACAGGGGGAUAACAGUUAGAAAUGACUGCUAACACCGCAUAAGCGCACAGAAAGGCAUCUUUCGGUGUGAAAAUAUUUAUAGGUACAGGAUGGGCCCGCGUCUGAUUAGCCAGUUGGAAGGGGAAAGGCCUCCACAAGCAACGAUCAGUAGCCGGCUUGAGAGAGGGAACGGCACAUUGGGACGGAGACACGGACCAAACUCCUACGGGAGGCAGCAGUGGGGAAUAUUGCACAAUGGGGGAAACCCUGAUGCAGCGACGCCGCGUGAGUGAAGAAGUAUUUCGGUAUGUAAAGCUCUAUCAGCAGGGAAGAAAAUGACGGUACCUGACUAAGAAGCCCCGGCUAACUACGUGCCAGCCGCCGCGGUAA
rnacentral:rRNA from 1 species